CGUUCAUGCUCUGUCUCUCUCUGUCUCAAAAAUAAACGUUAAUAAAAAAUAGAAUUAAAUAAAAAAAAGAAAAAAGAAUCGGGAGCACUUUGGACCAGUGUCCUGUGUGUAGAAGGUCUUGAUAUUUGUUGAGCGAUUUUUUUUAGGGCCUUGGUGGUUUUGUAAAGAAUGCUGUGAGGAACGUUUUAAUAAAGUCACCAACAUUCCACGUGUUCCGAAAAUCUUUCUGUGUGGUUUGGCCCCUCCGUGGCUGCCUUCAUCCUCCUGAAGACCUCUGGAGUGUUGAGCUGUACUGAGACCCCCUUCUACUUAUUAGGGCUUCAAAACGAGAAGUGACACAGAAAUGGGAAUACUGCGGGGGACAAACAAGGGACAACCAUCGAAAGCAGCUCUAGGUGUCUGGAAACCCAGCAACCUGGAAAGGUCUGGAACCCAGCAGGAAGGAGGGGGUGUCUCCACGCAGGGAAUCCUCAGGUGCAGCUGAUUUCGCCUCUCUGUAAAAAGGCUCAGUUGUCUGGCCACAUACUAACAGCAUCCUCCGGAGUCACUCAGCCAAAUUAAUUGCAACAUUGCCUUCUUGCUUAGGUCGUUUGUAACCUAACAUUGUUACAGGAUAAAUGUUUACAGAGUGUGGUUCCCUUUUUUUUUUUUUUUUUUUUUAAUCUGGUUCUUACCGCAUACUACACACAAUAUUUUAAAUUUGCCAUCCUCACUGGGAGACGCCUGUUCAUUGCUCAUUUUGGUAAUACGUUGCUAACAUAGCCAACUUAUUCAUUCAAAUGUUUUGUUAUCGCCCUAUGUGUUACUUAACGUGAAAUUGUGUUUUGGAAAAAAUAAAUCACUAUGGAUAGUAA